rnacentral:lncRNA from 1 species
CUAACUACUUUAACCAAAAUACUAACUACCUAACUAUAUUACUAACUGUAUUACAUUUGUACCCUUAAUACUCCCCCUCAAUCUCAACUGGGGUAUCCCAGUGUGAGAUUGCAACAGAUUCUCAAAUAGCAAACAUCGAAAUAUGGAUAAAUGGUUCAGUUUCUUCUCAACUGCAGUCUCCCACUAUGGUUGCCACAACUGACAGUUCAAAGUUCUUCUGAAUUGGUCUGGCCCUAACUUUUGCAGACUUCCAAAACAACAGAUGUAAGACAGCAUCAUUAUGUUUACAUAUGUCAUCAAUAAAUCUCUGAUCUGCACAUAGUUUUCCAUCAUACACAACUUCUUGUUCUUCUAGAUCAACAAACUCUUGACUUUUAACAAACACAACACAGCAAACUCUACAAUCCUUCAAGCUUCAAGCUUUCAGCAAUGGAGAACAAAUGAAUACACACCUCAGAUUCAUUUUAAGCCGGCAAAGAACAACCCCCUGCAAACCAAGCCUUUCAACAGCUACAACUCUAAUAAACUAAUCUUUACAGAAAACAUGGCUUCAUGCCCACAAACUUCAAUCAACUAAUCUAUACAAAAAACAUGGCUUCGUGCCGCAAACUUCAAUCAACUAAUCUAUACAGAAAACAUGG